rnacentral:lncRNA from 1 species
CUGGCACUUUUCGGUGUGAAAUCUGAAGGGAAACUUAUGCAACAACUUAGCUUACUUUGCUUUGUUGCUUUUUUGAUUCCCCAGGCAGAGAGGGUCUCCUUAACAAAGCUAAGAUAUAUUUAAUAAAGUUCUUACAUAUCAAAAUAAUACUUUUUGUUUUUCCACUUUAGGAAAUAUGUUCAAGUUUGUGUCCAGAAUUUGUCAGAACUUGACUUUCAGCUGUCAGAUAGUUAUCUUGUAGAUACCGGUGAUAGUACCGACCUGCAACUAGUACCACUGAACACGCAGUCCCAGCAGCCCAUCUACAGCAAGCAGUCGGUGUUCUUCGUCUGGGAACUCAAGUGGACAGAAGAGCCUCCCCCUUCUCUGCAUUGCCGGUUCUCUGUUGGAUUUUCCCCAGCUUCUGAGGAACAGCUGUCUAUCUCCUUAAAGCCGUAUACUUAUGAAUUUAAAGUGGAAAAUUUUUUUACAUUAUACAACGUGAAGGCUGAGAUCUUUCCCCCUUCGGGAAUGGAGUAUUGCAGAACAGGCUCCCUC